GCAUUAAUGGGGUAGUGGUAACCUGGGUCGUUGCCAUUCGAUAAUUUUCGUAGACUCGACCCGCCGGGAGUUCGAUUCUCUCUUAAUACA